rnacentral:lncRNA from 1 species
GCAAAAAAAAUAUUACUUGAAAGUAUGGUUACACAACAGCUCAAGCAAUCACGCACCGUGCAAGAUAUCAGAACUAGCUAUCACAUGCAUUGAAUGAUUCUCAAACGGGUCUUUUUGCACGUCCAGUGAUAAAACUUGAACAAAAGCAGAGUACUAAAACACUGUCACUCCAGGGUGUAUAAAGAAGCCUUCUUUACUCCUUUUUACAUGUUUUGAUGUUAAGGUUUUCCAGGGAAGGCUGCAUGGCAGUAUAAAUUAACCAACUAUUUUCAUCAACCCCAAACUAGUCGAGGUCCGUGACAAUCCUUUAUAUAUCUUCUCUAUUACCAUUCAUAUCACUUCGGUCCAAUAUUUUUCUUUUAUGACAGUGGUAUUUGGGCCAGCUUUGCACACCUCGACUAUUCCACCAGGUACCUGCUACUCCCAAGUCCCAACAGCACUGACAUGGGUCAUCUCUGCCCACUACAGCUUAGACAGAAGGGAUGAUUAUCACCUAGGGUUUUUUUGUCUUUGUUGGAAUUGAAUUUGAAACCUCAUGGUUGUCCACCCACUUCAAGGCCACACCCUUGGACGAACAUAUCACUUUAAUAUUGGUAAUCAAUUUGUCUUUUAAGUCAAAAUACAAA